UGAGAGGAAUAUUUUGGUGCACAGACACUA
rnacentral:piRNA from 1 species